UCGGCGGUGUCCCCAGCAGUACAAUCUGCCCAUGGCUGGGGGAUGUUCUGGGGACGGUGCAGAAACCCAGCCGCUCUCUCAGAACCGGGCUGGCUCUGCAGGUCCAAUACCAACGGCUCGGGUCUGUCACUAAGGGGUGUGUAGAAUCCAGAGGGCAUUCACUCACGUCAGCUCAGCGAUCGCACCAUGGCCCCCUUACCUGACUGGUGAUGUCAGACGGCAUCGGAGAAGGCGGCUUGGAGUACGUGGCAUCCUGGGAGAUGAAGCCAGAGUCGUGGGAGGAGACGCUGGACAGGCGGGUGUUGGCAUUAACCGGCUGCGCCAGGCUGCGGUAGCGAUAGGUGGAACCUGGCAUGGUCUGGGCAUGAAAAGCACUGAUUGUGAAAAGGAGUUCAUCUGACGGAGGAUUAAGCCCCAUGCCACAGAUACUGAUCUAUGCUAAUCCUCAGCGCAAUGCUUUAAUGAUCAAUUAGCAUCUGAUCCACACAGAGUCUUGGCGACAUUUCACCAUGCAUUCUUCUCCCUGUGCCUGAGGACCUGAGCUCAGGCCAGGGAUUUGGUGUUACCAGCUGAGCACUCAAGCACUUACACAAUGAGGUUGUGAGUAUUAAAGCAGAAACUCCUUCACCCCCAUCCCGAGUAUGUUUGUGAAGUCCCCUGCUACAGUCUGAACUUACCUGCACAUGCUGGACUUGCGGGAGCCAGAGCUGCUGGGGGAGGAUGGAGGAGUCUGAUAGGACCAGCUGUAGUCAGAGCCUUUCAGGUCUUUGAUCACCUGCAGGAGGAAGGAGCCAGGCCACGUUAGCAAUGUAGCUUAUCAAAGAGCAGGCGAAGGGGUGACUUGCUCACCGUCUGUAAGUACCUCCAUGGGGAAUAAAUAUGGAAUAGUGGGCUCUUCGUCUAGCAGGGAAAGGAC